rnacentral:rRNA from 1 species
UGGGGAAUAUUGCACAAUGGGCGAAAGCCUGAUGCAGCGACGCCGCGUGAGGGAUGACGGCCUUCGGGUUGUAAACCUCUUUCAGCAGGGACGAAGCGCAAGUGACGGUACCUGCAGAAGAAGCACCGGCUAACUACGUGCCAGCAGCCGCGGUAAUACGUAGGGUGCAAGCGUUGUCCGGAAUUACUGGGCGUAAAGAGUUCGUAGGCGGUUUGUCGCGUCGUUUGUGAAAACCAGCAGCUCAACUGCUGGCUUGCAGGCGAUACGGGCAGACUUGAGUAAUGAAGGGGAGACUGGAAUGCAUGGUGUAGCGGUGAAAUGCGCAGAUAUCAGGAGGAACACCGGUGGCGAAGGCGGGUCUCUGGGCAGUAACUGACGCUGAGGAACGAAAGCGUGGGUAGCGAACAGG